rnacentral:rRNA from 1 species
AUUGAACGCUGGCGGCAGGCCUAACACAUGCAAGUCGAACGAGUGGCGGACGGGUGAGUAAUGUCUUGGAAACUGCCUGAUGGAGGGGGAUAACUACUGGAAACGGUAGCUAAUACCGCAUACCAUCGGAUGUGCCCAGAUGGGAUUAGCUAGUUGGUGGGGUAAAGGCUCACCUAGGCGACGCUCCCUACCUGGUCUGCGAGGAUGACCAGCCACACUGGAACUGAGACACGGUCCAGACUCCUACGGGAGGCAACAGUGGGGAAUAUUUGACAAUGGGCGCAAGCCUGAUGCAGCCAUGCCGCGUGUAUGAAGAAGGCCUUCGGGUUGUAAAGUACUUUCAGCGGGGAGGCGUUACCCGCAGAAGAAGCACCGGCUAACUCCGUGCCAGCAGCCGCGGUAAUAC